UUUCAGGUGAGUUAUGAAAUUAAGUUUAGAUUGUAUGUUUUGUUGAUCAUAUUUUGAUGGCUUGGUUAGAUUUAUUUGGAUACACUAUAUGCAUGGAUCUCAAACUAUGUUCUAACAAGUAAAAUUCAUUUUGAGUAGGAAAAUACUUUACACCGCUUCAUACUUGAUCAUUCAUUCUUUGUCUACUUCACCCUUGUGAAAAA
rnacentral:lncRNA from 1 species